UCGCCUGUCGGCCUGUGCGUGUGUGGCUUUCGUAGUGGCUAUCAAACUUUACCUGCCACCCAGUGCGUGAGGCCCCCGCCGCUUUCGCGCUCACAUCCGCAAACAAAGGAACCGCAAGAAAACACAGUGGCUUUUUUUUUUAGCACGCCUUAUAUUUCGAUCUCGCACAGCGUAUCUCGAAGACGGUUUCGCUGCCGCAACGAAGUUCUGUUCAUAUCGACGACUCCUGUGUUUUUUUCGGCAGGAGGGGUGAGGGAGGGUGAGGGCCUUCCUCGAGUUGGUUCGUUUCGCCCUCAUAUUAGCGCUUAUCGAAAACAGGUGAACGGAAUUGGUCACUGCACACUCUGUGGCCGUAUGUGGAGCGCCCUUUUGAGGCUCCUUGUGCUUCAUUACCUCCCUCCAUCCUUUUCCUCUUUUCACAGAUUUAUCCAACACCUCGCAAACGCGACGUGGCGCGUAUACCUCGAUUUCCUCGACGUGCUCCUUCACGGUUUGUGUCAACGCUUUUUUUUUUGUUUCGCCUGCACCACCUCUCCGCUUUGGUAGUUGGAGCGGAUGUGGUGCCUCAAGAGGGUGCCGCGCGGCCCCUCUCUCGCGCGGGGCUCGGCGGCAAUCGUCGGGAUGCCUCGUCGCUUUCGAGCAGUGCAGGAAGCAUCUGUACUGUGCUCGCUGACUGUCGUCGCACAUGGCCGUCGUACCCUCUCCACCGAGGAGCUGGUGGACGAGGAAACACAAUGGACGCGUGCGAUGGGCAGCAAGUACGGCUUUGGCAACUACCAGCUCUUCCGGGCGCUCUACAAGGACCUGUGUGACGAGAUCCGGCGCGAGUACUACACAAAGCCCCCGCCCCCACCACCCGCGACAAGGACCACAGGGGUCUCGCCUUCGCUAGCUGCGCCAGAAGCGUCACCCGAGGUGCACGGAGGCGCAGAUUCAGGUGCCAAUGACACUUCCUCCGGUGCCACAAAGCAUAGUAGUGUGGCAGGCGGCGCUGAUGCAACAUCAUCUUUAACGCAAGGAGGAGGGAUGCCAGCAGCUUCUCAGCGUGAGGACAGCACCGGCGAAACGGCGCGCGCAGCCCGGGAAACUGCGGCGACUCCUCCUUCGCAGCCGGAAGAAACAUAUGGGGAUGGCUCCUGGUCUGUGCAGCAUCGCCCUGAAGAUAACGUCGUUGUGUUUCAUCGGGGUGCCGUGAAGAGGGGCCGUCUUGCCGCCGUGCAUGCGUGGGCGCGCAUCGAGCUGAAGGACCCGCCGCGGCUGAACGCCGUGCUCACCUUUGCUGACUGGAUCCCGAUCGAGGUGUGCGUGGAGCGAAACGGUAUCGUCAUCCACUUCUCCAUGGCAUCGAACGAGGGCGGUAUGCACAUGCGCAACGUUCGGGUGUACGCACCAAAGUCGGCGGAGGAGCGCGCGGUGCUCCUGGACCCGUCUGACGACGGCGAGUACGCGCGGAAGAACUUCUACUAUGACGGGCCAUGCCUGUGGCACCUGGAGCUGGAUAUGCUGAACGAGCUUUACGAUGUUAUGCAAGACCAUGGCGUCACCCUUGACUGGAUUCGAUGGGCCGCUUCGUGGGUUUUCUACCUGGAGCACGUCAAUUACCUGCGGUGGAAUUUGGGAAUGCUAGAGGAGCUCAUUCCCUCUUCCCUGCGCGGCCCUGAGGAGGACUUCUUGUUGCCCGUGGAAAAGGCCCUGCUGGCGGAGCCUGUCGAAGACUGGCUCAGAGCCCACAGCAUCUAGCGAUGAGACGGCGAAGACAAAACCCACGUGCAAGCAUGCGUGCACGCGCGGAUGUGUGAGGCAGCGGCAUUGCGGAGGACAAAGAGUCAGCCUGCUGAGUGCUAGGUGGGUGGGUGGGUCGUAGGACACAACAGCAGCGUCGACGAGGUAGAAAGAAGGGUGGGGGUGGGGCAAGACUGCCGGUAUUGUUGGUAGCUGCAGCGGUCACACAAAGACGUCUCUUCACGCAAAAGAAAGAGGAGACCAACAAAAAGGAACGAGCUACAAGCGCACCCAGCGGAAGGCGGCGCGAGGCGCAGGCACAGAAGAGAGAAGAAAGAGGGACACGGAUGAGAGAGGCGACUCUUUUUUUUUUCGUGUAUGGUGGAGGGAGCACACGGGUGCAGAGGCGGCACGAGGUCGUGUGGGUUUGCGCGCAUGUGAGGGCUGUGCUGUUUCCCUUUUCUGCUGCUCGUGAUAGAGGCACAGAUCCGCUGCAGUCGAGCUCGCUCGGAUGCACACAGGGAAACGCAGAUACUCGCCUUCUUGUUCCGUCCGACCCACCUAUCUCAUCUCGUGCGCUUGUGUAUGUGUGUGUGUGGGGGGGGGGGCGGCGCACACGUUUUCGUUGUGCAUAACCUGUGUUUCUGCGGGCGCUUGGCCCAUCGACUUUUACAACUACUCCCUCUUAUCCCGCGUGUGCAUCCCCCGUGAUCCACAAGGCAGCGUUUUGCUCACUGCACCGCGGCUCUUCGCGUUCACGGGCUCGCACUGGGGUCAUGAUGCACUCGAUGCCUCUGAGUUGUCCCUGCUUGUUUUGUUUUUCCUUCUCCGUCUCGCUCACGUUCGACUGUUUCCGCAUGCAUUUCUCCUUCUUUUGAGCUCGCCCUUGAACAG
rnacentral:misc_RNA from 1 species